CCAGUAGAGGUGCUGCAUGGCUGUCGUCAGCUCGUGUCGUGAGAUGUUGGGUUAAGUCCCGCAACGAGCGCAACCCUUACCCUUAGUUGCCAGCGGGUAAUGCCGGGCACUCUAAGGGGACCGCCCCGGAUAACGGGGAGGAAGGCGGGGAUGACGUCAAGUCAGCAUGGCCUUUAUGUCCAGGGCUACACACGUGCUACAAUGGGCGAUACAGAGGGAAGCAAGGCCGCAAGGUAGAGCUAAUCCCUAAAGUCGUCCUCAGUUCGGAUUGCAGGCUGCAACUCGCCUGCAUGAAGUCGGAAUCGCUAGUAAUCGCGGAUCAGCUACGCCGCGGUGAAUACGUUCUCGGGCCUU
rnacentral:rRNA from 1 species